AUGAUGAUGUCACUGACUCUACUGCUGGCCACCCUGGGGCUCCUUGUUCAGGGUUCAUCAGGACAAAAAAUCCUGACUCAGUCUCCUGGAUCUCAGUCUGUUGUUCCAGGACAGACUGUCUCCAUCAGAUGUAAAAGCAGUUCAGGUGUUGGUACUAACCUCGGCUGGUACCUUCAGAAACCUGGAGAAGCUCCUAAACUCCUGAUUUAUCAAAUUUCAAACCUUCAGCCUGGAGUUUCAAAUCGUUUUAGUGGAAGUGGAUCUGGGACUGACUUCACUCUGACCAUCAGUGGAGUUCAGGCUGAAGAUUCAGGAGUUUAUUACUGUCAGCAGGAUAACAGCUUCCCGUUCACACAGUGA